rnacentral:rRNA from 1 species
CUACGGGGGGCAGCAGUGGGGAAUAUUGCACAAUGGGCGCAAGCCUGAUGCAGCCAUGCCGCGUGUAUGAAGAAGGCCUUCGGGUUGUAAAGUACUUUCAGCGGGGAGGAAGGGAGUAAAGUUAAUACCUUUGCUCAUUGACGUUACCCGCAGAAGAAGCACCGGCUAACUCCGUGCCAGCAGCCGCGGUAAUACGGAGGGUGCAAGCGUUAAUCGGAAUUACUGGGCGUAAAGCGCACGCAGGCGGUUUGUUAAGUCAGAGGUGAAAUCCCCGGGCUCAACCUGGGAACUGCAUCUGAUACUGGCACGCUUGAGUCUCGUAGAGGGGGUAGAAUUCCAGGUGUAGCGGUGAAAUGCGUAGAGAUCUGGAGGAAUACCGGUGGCGAAGGCGGCCCCCUGGACGAAGACUGACGCUCAGGUGCGAAAGCGUGGGGAGCAAACAGGAUUAGAUACCCUCGUAGUC